rnacentral:misc_RNA from 1 species
AUUUUUAGAUUAUAUAUAUUAUUUAUUUAUUUUAAUUUAUUUAUGUUUAUUAUUAUUUUAAUUCCUUCAAAUUUAAUUUCUUUCCAUCCUUUAAUUUUUAGAUUAAUAUUAACUUUUUAUAUUAUUUUAAUAAGAUUAGUAAUAAAUUUAAUUAAUAGAAAUUAUUGGUACUCAUAUAUUUUAUUUUUAAUUAUAAUUGGAGGUUUAAUAAUUUUAUUUAUAUACUUUACUAGUAUUGCUAGUAAUAAUUUAAUAAAUUUUAAUUUAAAUUUUAUUAAAUAUUUUUUUUUAAAAUUUAUUUUAUUAAUAAUUUUUUUUUUUAUAAUUACAUUAUUAAGAUUAAAAAAUAUUUAUGAGAUUAAUUUUUUAGAAAUUUUUAGAAUUAUAAAUAAAAACUUUAACUUAAUAGAUUUAACAGCAAAAAAUUUGUAUAUGGAUUUUUCAAUAGAUUUAAAUAUAUUUAUAAUUAUUUAUUUAUUUAUAACUAUAAUUAGAUGUGUUUUAUUAUGUAUAAAAAUUAUAUUACCUUUUCGUCAACUAAAUUGUU